GGCGGCGGCGGGGGGGGGGAGGGCUUUUCAAUCCGCUUCUUCGCGCUUUGAUAUCCGAGAAACGCAACGAGGGACAGCGUCUUUCGCCCUUUCAUUCGGCGUUUAAGCUGGGCACCACGCUCAGGCACCAGGAUACCGCGCGCCCUCGCGGGUUUUCGUGACCCGGGGAGUCUGCAGCCUGGGACUGAAGUUUCUCUGGACCUAGGAGGGAAAUUCCUCCGGCCGUUGGGCCACACCCGCCCUAGAGGACCUCCCGAGCUCUUCGGGCAGAGCGGAAGCCAGACCCAGACAGGGACGCUGAAGUGACAAUCCCCAGCCCUGUGUGGGCCAGGAGCCCCUGAGGGGGAGGGGCCACGGUGCUCUCCCCACCCCAGAGCCAGGCGUGGGUUGCAACAGAGGCUUCUCCAGGGAGGCUUGAGAGGAAGUUCAGCCCAAGCGGGAGCCAAGCCUGGGCCCAGCAGGGAGAGCUGCGGUGGGUACAGGACUGAGGAGGACACCACUGUGCGAAGACUGGCCUCCUCUCACCUGCCCCGUCCUGCACCCCCGGCCCGGAACUUUGUGCCUUCGCCCGCUGCACUCCUACCAGCACGGAAUUCCGAGCCACACCGAGCUCCUCUCAGCCGGCCCCACCUGCGAGUCACGUUCCUGCCUCGCCACGCAGUUAUCCCCUGGGCCUUUGUACCUGCUUUCCUGGCGCCGGGAAUGCCCUUCCCCCAUUGACCCAGCAAGGACCUUGUCACUUUCCAGGUGAGAGGCUUUUCUUGGUCUCGAUGUGCGCACAUUUUAUAGUAGUGCUUACAGUAAUGACUAAAAGCCAACAUUCUGCAGGCACACCACGUGCUGUUCCGACUGCUCUGUGUGUGUGUGUGUGUGUGUGUGUGUGUGUGCGCGCGCGUGUGCACCCAUUACAUUUUUGUCAGCUUAUUUAACUGUCAUAACAACCCUAAUGGGCACUAUUGUUAUCAUCUCCAUCUGACAGAGAGGAAAAUUGAUACACCGAGAGUGGGGUUACCAUUGACAUAGGGGGACAGGUCAAGUAAGCCGGGUUUCCGCACAACCAGCUCAGUGGAAAGGUCUGGGUAGCUAACCACUGCACUGCACGGCCUCUAGCUGUUAGGAGCUUUUACCAAUUUACAUACCUCUGAGAAAGCAGCAUCAGAUAAUGUCUGGUAACUGAGUGAAUUCAUAAAAUGUAAUAGAAUAAAGAAGUAGGGCUUAUCUUCGCUUGUGUAAGAUAUCUGCUAUGUCAACACUAUGUUUUUUUCCUAGAACAUAUAAUAUGUUAAAGAAAAUAAAAUUU
rnacentral:lncRNA from 1 species